UAGCUCAGUUGGUAAAGAAUCUGCCUGCAAUGCAGGAGACCCGGGUUCGAUUCCUGG
rfam:TPA: Bos taurus chromosome 13, whole genome shotgun sequence.